GACGAACGCUGGCGGCGUGCUUAACACAUGCAAGUCGAACGAAGAGCGAUGGAAGCUUGCUUCUAUCAAUCUUAGUGGCGCACGGGUGAGUCACGCGUAAUCAACCUGCCCUUCAGGGGGGGACAACAGUUGGAAACGAGUGCUAAUACCGCAUACGAUCUGACCACGGCAUCGAGGAUAGAUGAAAGGUGGCCUAUACAUGUAAGCUAUCACUGCAGGAUGGUAGUGCGUCUGAUUAGCUAGUUGGCGGGGUAACGGCCCACCAAGGCGAUGAUCAGUAGCCGGUCUGAGAGGAUGAACGGCCACAUUGGGACUGAGACACGGCCCAGACUCCUACGGGAGGCAGCAGUAGGGAAUCUUCCGCAAUGGACGAAAGUCUGACGGAGCAACGCCGCGUGAGUGAUGACGGCCUUCGGGUUGUAAAGCUCUGUUAAUCGGGACGAAAGGCCUUUUUGCGAAUAGGGAGAAGGAUUGACGGUACCGGAAGAGAAAGCCACGGCUAACUACGUG
rnacentral:rRNA from 1 species